rnacentral:lncRNA from 1 species
GAGGUCGCUUCUUUACGGUUCUGUCCCCUAGGCCCCUUCCUUCCAUAAGCCUACUCAGGACUCCACUGGGUUACUGACUACUCACCCUCCCCUCAGGUCAUCUCCUGACCCGUACACAGUUAUGUCCACCCAGGCUCUGCUUGGACACCUGUGCCUGAUGUUCACCAGGGGCCAGAUGUCGUCCUCAGGCCUGAUGUCCACCUGGGGCCUGAUGUCUGCCUUGGCCUAUGUCCCUCUUGGGGCCUUGUGUUCACCUGGGGACUGUAUCCAGCUGGGGCCUGAUGGCCUACUGGGUCUUGUUGUUCACCUAAGGCCUUGUGUCCACCUGGGGACUGGUGAUCACCUGGGGCCUGGGUGUCCACCUGAGGCCGGAGGUGCACCUAAGGCCUGAGUUUUCACCUGGGCCUGAUGAUCACCUGGGGACUGGGUGUGUGCCUUGGGUCUUUUCCCUUUUCCUGAACAGGGCUUGCAGUUUCCAAACCAGACACAAUCUCCCAGUUGGAGAAAGAAAAAGGAUCCUAGAUGAUAGUGAGACAAAUUUCAGGAAACUCCAUCCAAAUAAGUAAAUGAGAAUGAGGACAGGAUUCAUUGCAUGGUGGCAUGUGCCUGCAGUCCCAGCUACUCAGGAGGCUGAGGUGGGAGGAUCGCUUGAACUCAGGAGUUGAAGGCUGCAGUGGGUGAGGAUCACAACACUGAAUUCCAGCUGAGGUGACAGAAUGAGACCCUGUCUCUCUAAAAAACAAGCAAGCAAACAAACCAAAAACCACAAACAAACCAGACCCCUCUUAGCAGAAUACUUCCAUGAGGUAAUAAAAGAAAGAAGAAAGUGAAACGAACAAACAAUUUUACUCAAGAAACUAGUGAGAAAUCAAAGAAAUGUCCAAGAAGUAGGAUACAAGAAUUAAUCAAAACAGAUUAACAGUGGAAUAAAUAAAUGAAUCCAACUGGUUCUUUGUAAUGGAAUGUGGAAAGACAUACUCUAUUCUUCUGGAUAGGAAGAUGAAAUAUCAUAAUCAUAUCAAUGCAAGUUUUAUGCAUGCUCAAACAUGUAUAAACUAAGAAAAAAUCUGAAAGGACAGACAGCAAAAUGUUUGCAGUUUUUUUCCUCCAAGUGGUAAGAUUAAAGAACACAGACAAAAAUAGAAACUCCUCACAUGACCCACCACGAAGCCCAUCAGAUGGCAGAAUGCAGAAUCAGGUUGCAGUGGACUGAUCUUAAAACAGAUGAAGCAGUGGAGAAAAUCUUCCUGGAGCUGAUGGUAUAAUUUGCUUCUUGAAACAAUGACAGUCCAUGAAAUAAGGUGGGGAAGAUGUUUUGAACCUCUCUCAGCAGCAGAUCCCUAAAUCACAGACCCAGAACUUGGAGGAAACAGGAAACAGGAGGCCAUCUCUGCACCUCUCCAGCACUGCUCUGGUUGGUGGGCAGAAUAUCAUAAAAUCAUCACGAUUCUUAUAUCAAAAACCAAAUUCUAGACUGAUUAAAUAAUUAUUUUUUUAAAUGAGAAAAGUUAUCGUUUAUUUGAUCUUGGGCUAGGGAAGAUAUUUCCAAGC